UACAGAGGGUGCGAGCGUUGUCCGGAAUCACUGGGCGUAAAGGGUGCGUAGGCGGCGCGGUAAGUCGGGUGUGAAAUCUCGGAGCUUAACUCCGAAACUGCAUUCGAUACUGCCGUGCUUGAGGACUGGAGAGGAGACUGGAAUUUACGGUGUAGCGGUGAAAUGCGUAGAUAUCGUAAGGAAGACCAGUGGCGAAGGCGGGUCUCUGGACAGUUCCUGACGCUGAGGCACGAAGGUCAGGGGGAGCAAACGGG
rnacentral:rRNA from 1 species